rnacentral:rRNA from 1 species
GUGCAUGGGCGCUACCAUGCAGUCGAGCGGUAAAGAUAGUAUGUUGCUACUCUGAUGACCAGCGGGGGACGGGUGAGUAAUGCUUGGGAAUGUUCCUUAUGGUGGGGGACAACAGUUGGAAACGACUGCUAAUACCGCAUAAUGUCUUCCGACCAAAGCGGGGGACCUUCUGGCCUCGCGCCAUAGGAUCUGCCCAAGUGGGAUUAGCUAGGAGGUGAGGUAAUGGCUCACCAAGGCGACGAUCCCUAGCUGGUUUGAGAAGAUGAUCCGCCACGCUGGGACUGAGACACCGCCCAUACUCCUACAGGAGGCAGCAAUGAGGAAUAUUGCACGAUGGGCGCAAGCCUGAUGCAGCCAUGCCGCGUGUGUGAAGAAGGCCUUCGGGUUGUAAAGCACUUUCACUAAAGAGGAAAGGUUGGAUGUUAAUAGCAUUCCGCUGUGACGUUACUUACAGAAGAAUCACCGGCUAACUCCGUGCCAGCAACCGCGGAAAUACCGAGGGUGCGAGCGUUAAUCUGAAUUACUGGGCGUAAAGCGUACGCUAGCGGUUUGUUAAUCAAGAUGUGAAACUCCCCUGCUCAACCUGGGAACUGCAUUUCAAACUGGCAAACUAAAGAGUGAUAUAGGGUGGUAGAAUUUCAGGUGUAGCGGUGAAAUGCGUAGAGAUCUGAAGGAAUACCGAUGGCGAACUACCCACCUGGGUCAACUCUUGACACUCAUGUACGAGAACGUGGGGAGCUUACAUGCUUGAUACCCUGG